rnacentral:rRNA from 1 species
GACGAACGCUGGCGGCGUGCUUAACACAUGCAAGUCGAACGGUAAGGCUCCAGCUUGCUGGGGUACACGAGUGGCGAACGGGUGAGUAACACGUGGGUGACCUGCCCUGCACUUCGGGAUAAGCCUGGGAAACUGGGUCUAAUACCGGAUAGGACCGCACCGUGAGGGUGUGGUGGAAAGUUUUUUCGGUGUGGGAUGGGCCCGCGGCCUAUCAGCUUGUUGGUGGGGUAAUGGCCUACCAAGGCGGCGACGGGUAGCCGGCCUGAGAGGGUGGACGGCCACAUUGGGACUGAGACACGGCCCAGACUCCUACGGGAGGCAGCAGUGGGGAAUAUUGCACAAUGGGCGGAAGCCUGAUGCAGCGACGCCGCGUGGGGGAUGACGGCCUUCGGGUUGUAAACUCCUUUCACCAUCGACGAAGGGUUUCUGACGGUAGAUGGAGAAGGAGCACCGGCUAACUACGUGCCAGCAGCCGCGGUAAUACGUAGGGUGCGAGCGUUGUCCGGAAUUACUGGGCGUAAAGAGCUCGUAGGUGGUUUGUCGCGUCGUCUGUGAAAUUCCGGGGCUUAACUCCGGGCGUGCAGGCGAUACGGGCAUAACUUGAGUACUGUAGGGGAGACUGGAAUUCCUGGUGUAGCGGUGAAAUGCGCAGAUAUCAGGAGGAACACCGGUGGCGAAGGCGGGUCUCUGGGCAGUAACUGACGCUGAGGAGCGAAAGCAUGGGGAGCGAACAGGAUUAGAUACCCUGGUAGUCCAUGCCGUAAACGGUGGGCGCUAGGUGUGGGUUUCCUUCCACGGGAUCCGUGCCGUAGCUAACGCAUUAAGCGCCCCGCCUGGGGAGUACGGCCGCAAGGCUAAAACUCAAAGGAAUUGACGGGGGCCCGCACAAGCGGCGGAGCAUGUGGAUUAAUUCGAUGCAACGCGAAGAACCUUACCUGGGCUUGACAUAUACAGGAUCGCGCCAGAGAUGGUGUUUCCCUUGUGGCUUGUAUACAGGUGGUGCAUGGUUGUCGUCAGCUCGUGUCGUGAGAUGUUGGGUUAAGUCCCGCAACGAGCGCAACCCUUGUCUUAUGUUGCCAGCACGUUGUGGUGGGGACUCGUAAGAAACUGCCGGGGUUAACUCGGAGGAAGGUGGGGAUGACGUCAAAUCAUCAUGCCCCUUAUGUCCAGGGCUUCACACAUGCUACAAUGGUCGGUACAGUGGGUUGCCAGUCCGUGAGGGCGAGCUAAUCCCGCAAAGCCGGUCUCAGUUCGGAUCGGGGUCUGCAACUCGACCCCGUGAAGUCGGAGUCGCUAGUAAUCGCAGAUCAGCAACGCUGCGGUGAAUACGUUCCCGGGCCU